rnacentral:rRNA from 1 species
ACCCGCGUACAUGCCACCGGGGCAUCCCGGAGGCAGGAAAGGCCUCGGCCGGACAGGGAUGGGCAUGCGGCGCAUUAGGCAGUAGGCGGGGUAACGGCCCACCUAACCGACGAUGCGUAGGGGUUCUGAGAGGAAGGUCCCCCACACUGGUACUGAGACACGGACCAGACUCCUACGGGAGGCAGCAGUGAGGAAUAUUGGUCAAUGGUCGGGAGACUGAACCAGCCAAGCCGCGUGAGGGAUGAAGGUACAGAGUAUCGUAAACCUCUUUUGUCAGGGAACAAAGGCGGGGACGUGUCCCCGGAUGAGUGUACCUGAAGAAAAAGCAUCGGCUAACUCCGUGCCAGCAGCCGCGGUAAUACGGAGGAUGCGAGCGUUAUCCGGAUUUAUUGGGUUUAAAGGGUGCGCAGGCGGUCUGUUAAGUCAGCGGUCAAAGCCCGGGGCUCAACCCCGGCCCGCCGUUGAAACUGGCAGUCUCGAGUUGGAGAGAAGUAUGCGGAAUGCGCGGUGUAGCGGUGAAAUGCAUAGAUAUCGCGCAGAACUCCGAUUGCGAAGGCAGCAUGCCGGCUCCACACUGACGCUGAGGCACGAAAGCGUGGGUAUCGAACAGGAUUAGAUACCCUGGUAGUCCACGCAGUAAACGAU